rnacentral:rRNA from 1 species
UACGUAGGGACCAAGCGUUGUUCGGAUUUACUGGGCGUAAAGGGCGCGUAGGCGGCGUGACAAGUCACUUGUGAAAUCUCCGGGCUUAACUCGGAACGGCCAAGUGAUACUGUCGUGCUAGAGUGCAGAAGGGGCAAUCGGAAUUCUUGGUGUAGCGGUGAAAUGCGUAGAUAUCAAGAGGAACACCUGAGGUGAAGACGGGUUGCUGGGCUGACACUGACGCUGAGACGCGAAAGCGUGGGGAGCAAACAGG